AAGCUCAAAUUUGAAAUCUGGCGUCUUCGGCGUCCGAGUUGUAAUUUGGAGGGGUAUCUUCGGGAAGCAGCACCGUUCUAAGUUCCUUGGAACAGGACGUCAUAGAGGGUGAGAAUCCCGUGCUUGGGCAGUUGUCUGUUUCCCAAUUGAGAUGCCUCCGACGAGUCGAGUUGUUUGGGAAUGCAGCUCAAAAUGGGUGGUAAAUUUCAUCUAAAGCUAAAUAUUGGCGAGAGACCGAUAGCGCACAAGUAGAGUGAUCGAAAGAUGAAAAGCACUUUGAAAAGAGAGUUAAAAAGUACGUGAAAUUGUUGAAAGGGAAGCGCUUGAGAUCAAACUCGAUCAUUGGUGAUGCCUUGGCAUUAUUGCUGAGGUGCACUUGCCAUUGAUUGGGCCAGCAUCGGUUCUGACGGUGGGAAAACCGGUAAGGGAAUGUGGCUCUCUUCGGAGAGUGUUAUAGACCUAACCUUUAAUACCACCAGUUGGGACCGAGGACCGCGCUUCGUGCUAGGAUGCUGGCGUAAUGGUCUUAAGCGACCCGUCUUGAAACACGGACCAAGGAGUCUAACAUCUAUGCGAGUGUUCGGGUGGAAAACCCUUGCGCGUAAUGAAAGUGAACGGAGGUGGGAACCGUUAAGGUGCACCAUCGACCGAUCCUGAUGUCUUCGGAUGGAUUUGAGUAUGAGCAUAGCUGUUGGGACCCGAAAGAUGGUGAACUAUGCCUGAAUAGGGUGAAGC
rnacentral:rRNA from 1 species